GUUCUUGCUUCAGCAGCACAUAUACUAAAAUUGGAAUCAUACAAAGAAUAUUAGCAUGGCCCCUGAGCAAGGAUGACACGCAAAUUCAUGAAGCAUUCCAUAUUUUU
rnacentral:snRNA from 1 species